GUCGGGAGCUCCACACAAGAGACAAGCUAACAUAUGUCCUUGAUUGUGAUAACUUAAGACAUGGCCUGAACAAGGGUUCUUGCCAUUAAAGCUGAAGAUCGUGCUAAAAAUAUAAGGAGAGGUGGUAACUAUCUGGCGAAGACAGACAUGUCUAUCAUAUUUAAUGGGACUCCCAUGAAAGUCUGAUCCAUCAUAAAUACUUGGGAUAUUUGGGUCUAAAAGGUUUAUGCUAUUAUCAGUGUCCUUGUGGCUAGCAGUGGAGAUGGAGAUCUCAAAGAAAGAACGUGGAGGUGAAUGAUUGAGAAAAUGUCAUCAUAUGAUGGAUGAGUGAUUAUUGGAAGUUAAUCAUUUGCAGAUGGAUGGAGACUAUUGGAUGUUAUCAAAUUGGCCAUUGAAUUCAGGGAAACCAUGCUGAAACUUGGAUGACACAAUUUCUAAACUAUAUGCUGAGAGCAUGCAUAAUACUGAAAAGUGUUUGACAAAUUUGUUAAGUAUGGUGUUCUUUUAUUGAACUAGGUAGUACAAGAAGGUAUGAACGAAGUGCUAGGACUUCUAACAUUAUCAUUUACCUAAACCAAAUAUUGAUCUUUGACUUCUGA